UAGGGAAUCUUCCACAAUGGACGCAAGCCUGAUGGAGCAACGCCGCGUGAGUGAAGAAGGUCUUCGGAUCGUAAAGCUCUGUUGUUGGUGAAGAAGGAUAGAGGCAGUAACUGGUCUUUAUUUGACGGUAAUCAACCAGAAAGUCACGGCUAACUACGUGCCA
rnacentral:rRNA from 1 species